rfam:Ictidomys tridecemlineatus contig095340, whole genome shotgun sequence.
AGGGGUGUGGCUCAGUAGCAGAGCACUUCUUGCCUGGCAUGUUAGAGGCCCUGGGUUCAAUCCCCAGCACCAUAA